AAUUCACACAUAAUGUGUCGGACAUUUUGAAUCUUUCAUUAGGAUUAAAAAAUAGAACUUCUUAUGAAUCUUAAAUUAUGUAAUAAAUAGUUUAGAAGAGAUAAAAAAAAUUUGUUUUUAGUAUUAUAUCGUGGUUAACGAAGCAGCUAAAAAGUCCUUCCAGUCAGUUGCAACAAUAAUUAAAGCAGCAGGAAACAGCCAACUACACAUGCAAGUGAUUGUUAUGAGGAUUGCAAAAGUUUUAAAUAACAGAAACUAAAGAAGGCAUUGAUAAUCAGCAGAUAAUAAAAAAAGCAAAAGUACUGAUUAUACAAAUCAUUUAGAGUUGAGGAAGAAUUUUAGGUUAAUGCUAAUGCAAAAGGUACGAAUAUUAAUAAUUUAGCUGAUUUGACAUUACAAUAAACAUAAAAUAAAGUGUGUGAAGACCUAAGUGCUAGAAAGACUUCCAUGCAUUAAGUUAAGAUUAUGCAAUUAAACGAUCACUACUUCCACAGCCACCUUGUCUCAAGGAUUCGAUUGCAUUCUAAGAUAUUUUUAUUCGAAUCAAGUGUGACUACUAUACCAAAAGACUGUAGAGUGGAGCAAUCAACUAACCCAUCAGUACUUGCAAAGUCUCCUUUUCUGUUAGCUCAAAAAUUGAGUUCUAAAAUACCAUUAUUCACAUAACUACUAUAUCAAAGCACAAACUAAUGGAUUGAUCAUAAAAAAGAUUGUAUGACUUCGGUAUCCGUAAUAUGGUAUCAUGCAUUGGUUCUUAUCUUAGAAUGGCUCCCUUCCGUAUAGGUAGAAAUACGAAAGGUUAUGUCCUUUUUUCCAAUUCUUAAGACAAAGAGGCUUAAUCAGUUCAACCAAAGAUGACAAUAAUCAUUAUAGAGCCUAUCAUGAUGACGAAUACGAUAAUGCAUAUAAUGAUAAAAAAAAAAAUGAUUUUACUUGUAUUUUAGACUUAUAUUAUUAAAAAAUUAUCUGUUUAA